rnacentral:rRNA from 1 species
AUCUGAACUCAAACAGGCAAGAUUACCCGCUGAAUUUAAGCAUAUUAAUAAGCGGAGGAAAAGAAACUAACAAGGAUUCCCCUAGUAACGGCGAGUGAAGCGGGAACAGCUCAAGCUUGAAAUCUGCACCUUGUAAAAAGGGUGCCGAGUUGUAGCUUUUGGAGGCACUAUUGAGCGGCUAAUCUUGGUAAAAGUCCUUUUGAAUAAGGCAUCAGAGAGGGUGAAAAUCCCGUAUUUGACCAGGAGCAUAAAUUAGCAGCGAUAUCAAGUGUUUUCUUUGAGUCGGGUUGUUUGGGAAUGCAGCCCUAAUUAGGAGGUAAAUUUCUUCUAAAGCUAAAUAUCAGCAAGAGACCGAUAGCAUACAAGUACCGUGAGGGAAAGAUGAAAAGCACUUUGAAAAGAGAGUGAAAAGUACGUGAAAUUGUUGGAAGGGAACCGGUUGAUGACCAAGCUUUUUUGGCUUCCUUUCGGGGGAGUUGGAGGGUCAACAUCGGUUGUUUUAUGGCUAGAAGGGAUUUUGCGGGCUGGCGGGGGAAAGGUAGUAAGCGUUCUGGGUAUUUAUACGUAGGGCGUUUAUGUUAUAGACUCCCACAGGCUCGCUUCAAAAGCUCUAUAGUUGUAGCGACCGAGGAAUGCAGUGUGUUUUUAUCCUUCGGGAUUUAGGGCAGCUUGUAGGGAUGCAUUUUGUGGUGUUUAUCUGGGGCUAGACAGCUUUGCUGACUAGUUCUGGUGCGCCAUAUGUACGCCUUGCAAGGUGACCAAGAAGCACUUUGGAUGUUGGCGAAAAGGCAUCAAUCGACCCGUCUUGAAACACGGACCAAGGAGUCCAACAUGCAUGCGAGUAUUUGGGAAAAGAUAAACCCAUGUGCGUAAUGAAAGUGAAUUUUAUUUAGAAUGUGACCUGCUUUAUUGUGGGGCAACAUCAACCGACUUUAGAUAGCGCUGCUUGAAAAGGUUGAGUAAGAGCAUGUAUGCUGGGACCCGAAAGAUGGUGAACUAUGCCUGAAUAGGGUGAAGUCAGAGGAAACUCUGAUGGAAGCUCGUAGAGAUUCUGACGUGCAAAUCGAUCUCAAAAUUUGGGUAUAGGGGCGAAAGACUAAUCGAACCAUCUAGUAGCUGGUUCCUGC